GUCGACGGCCGGAAGGCAUGGUGGUGGCCUGGCCGGGCUGCUGCAGCCGGCGACCACUGGACCCGCUGCCCGAUCUGGACGCCACCCCCCUCCCCGUCCUGCUGCACCUCCACUACACGUGGUGGCUCCAACUUCUCACGCUGCCUAUAGGAACCUGGGGUUUCUGGCUGGGCAUCGACAUUGGCACCGGAUGCAUCCCUUAAGUCAGCCUUCCACUUGUCUCUUGUGCCCAAGUAGACCUGUGGUGACCUUGCUUGGCAGCGAAUGAGGGGCGCUGAUGUGGCGUCGCCAGAGAGGACAACGCUGUCCUGUCCUCCCUUCCUGCUCAGCACCAACUAUGACGAUGAGCUACCCGUGGCAGCGGCUUCUCGCGCUACCUAUAGAAACCUGGGCUUUCUGGCUGGACAUCCACAUUGGUGGCAGAUGCACCCCUGGAGCCAGCCUUCCACUUUUCUCUCACGCUGAAGUAGACUGGUCGUGACCUUGCUUUGCAUCGGACGAGGGGCGAUGUGGGUGAUGCCAGUGUCCCGUCCUUGCAUCCUGCUCAGCAUCAACUAUGGUGAUGAGUGCAGUUGAGCUUUUCAGUGAAAAUCUCAGUGGCUGCCAUUGCUCUGGCCAUUAGAGGUCAAGAAUCAAAAAACUCCACGAAGCGCUCCAAGUUAUUGAUAUCAUACCGAGGCAACAUUCUGCAAAACAGGGCAUCCUUUUGGUUCGUUAGUCAUCUUUCCACAACAAUCUUGCUAGCUUAGUUGACUUGGGCGGUGGUGUGAUGGGGGUGCCGAAGAUUUCACUCAAGUUUCUGUGGUACACAGAGUGGCCUCUCCUUGAACGUCGGAUCUCCCUAGUUUGAUUAGCAGUUUCAGUAAAGGAAGUCAAAUAUAAUGAAUGAGAGGGAGAUCCGCUCUGGGAGACAUCGCCGGGGCUGCAUAGAGGUUUUAGAAGCCUGUGAGCAUAGGACAUUGCUAUCCCUAUUGAUAGCUUCUUCCCAUUCUCUUCUAGUUGCAUUUCGACUACUUCCUGCUUUGCCUUCUCCCUCACUUCAUUGUUUUGGGAGAAGAGAAUCAUCAGGAGUAUCCUCAUGCUGCUAUUUCGAAGG